GUCCACGCCGUAAACGAUGGAUACUAGCUGUUCGGAGCAAUCUGAGUGGCUAAGCGAAAGUGAUAAGUAUCCCACCUGGGGAGUACGUUCGCAAGAAUGAAACUCAAAGGAAUUGACGGGGGCCCGCACAAGCGGUGGAGCAUGUGGUUUAAUUCGAUGAUACGCGAGGAACCUUACCAAGGCUUAAAAUGGAAAAACGACAGGUUUGGAAACAGACUUUUCUUCGGACGUUUUUCAAGGUGCUGCAUGGUUGUCGU
rnacentral:rRNA from 1 species